CAGCAGCCGCGGUAAAACGUAGGGGGCAAGCGUUGUCCGGAAUCAUUGGGCGUAAAGCACGUGUAGGCGGCUCGAUAAGUCUGCUGUGAAAGUCCAGGGCUCAACCCUGGGAUGCCGGUGGAUACUGUCGAGCUCGAGUCCGGAAGAGGCGAGUGGAAUUCCUGGUGUAGCGGUGAAAUGCGCAGAUAUCAGGAGGAACACCAAUGGCGAAGGCAGCUCGCUGGGACGUGACUGACGCUGAGACGCGAAAGCGUGUGGAGCAAACAGGAUUAGAUACCCCCGUAGUCCCUGUCUCUUAUAC
rnacentral:rRNA from 1 species